rnacentral:lncRNA from 1 species
GGUCUGUACUCCAUCCAUACCACACACACCCCUUGUACUCCCAUUUGGAAAGGAGCAGGCUGGGUUACCUGAAGCCAGAGCAGGAGGAACUGCAAAUGCAGGUCUUGCUUUAUGCAGAACAACAGAGCAGCCAGGAGGGGCACUUCCAAGGGUUUGGCAGUCACCAAGUCCUCUUCCCCCAUGGGUGGAUUCCUUUCCUGGGAAAGAAAUCAGAGGAUAUCAGGCACAGACACCAGCUGCUAGAACAAGAGAAGGAACCCAGAGGCAAGUGGAAAUCCACUGUGCUGAGUGCUGUAAGGACAGCUAGAGACAGGCCCUGUCCCAGGCAGCAGAAGAAACAGCAGCAAGCUUCUAAAAGAUCCAGUACAACUUUACAGUGAAGUAAGGACACAACAGAUGACAACUCUCCAUGAAGCAAGAAAUGUGAUAGCUCUAUUCACGUACUGCAG